AAGUCGUAACAAGGUUUCCGUAGGUGAACCUGCGGAAGGAUCAUUAAAAAAUGAGGUAUUUUAUACCUCUUGUAUUUAAAACCCAACUCUAAAAUAUAAAUUUUUAAUAAAAAAAAAAAAACUUUCAACAAUGGAUCUCUUGGCUCUC
rnacentral:misc_RNA from 1 species